GAGUGCUUGCACUCAAUUGGAAAGAGGAGUGGCGGACGGGUGAGUAACACGUGGGUAACCUACCCAUCAGAGGGGGAUAACACUUGGAAACAGGUGCUAAUACCGCAUAACAGUUUAUGCCGCAUGGCAUAAGAGUGAAAGGCGCUUUCGGGUGUCGCUGAUGGAUGGACCCGCGGUGCAUUAGCUAGUUGGUGAGGUAACGGCUCACCAAGGCCACGAUGCAUAGCCGACCUGAGAGGGUGAUCGGCCACACUGGGACUGAGACACGGCCCAGACUCCUACGGGAGGCAGCAGUAGGGAAUCUUCGGCAAUGGACGAAAGUCUGACCGAGCAACGCCGCGUGAGUGAAGAAGGUUUUCGGAUCGUAAAACUCUGUUGUUAGAGAAGAACAAGGACGUUAGUAACUGAACGUCCCCUGACGGUAUCUAACCAGAAAGCCACGGCUAACUACGUGCCAGCAGCCGCGGUAAUACGUAGCUGGCAAGCGUUGUCCGGAUUUAUUGGGCGUAAAGCGAGCGCAGGCGGUUUCUUAAGUCUGAUGUGAAAGCCCCCGGCUCAACCGGGGAGGGUCAUUGGAAACUGGGAGACUUGAGUGCAGAAGAGGAGAGUGGAAUUCCAUGUGUAGCGGUGAAAUGCGUAGAUAUAUGGAGGAACACCAGUGGCGAAGGCGGCACUCUGGUCUGUAACUGACGCUGAGGCUCGAAAGCGUGGGGAGCAAACAGGAUUAGAUACCCUGGUAGUCCACGCCGUAAACGAUGAGUGCUAAGUGUUGGAGGGUUUCCGCCCUUCAGUGCUGCAGCAAACGCAUUAAGCACUCCGCCUGGGGAGUACGACCGCAGGGUGAAACUCAAAGGAAUUGACGGGGGGCCCGCACAAGCG
rnacentral:rRNA from 1 species